AGUGAACGCUGGCGGUAGGCCUAACACAUGCAAGUCGAACGGCAGCACAGUAAGAGCUUGCUCUUACGGGUGGCGAGUGGCGGACGGGUGAGGAAUACAUCGGAAUCUACUUUUUCGUGGGUGAUAACGUAGGGAAACUUACUCUAAUACCGCAUACGACCUACUGGUGAAAGCAGGGGAUCUUCGGACCUUGCGCGAUUGAAUGAGCCGAUGUCGGAUUAGCUAGUUGGCGGGGUAAAGGCCCACCAAGGCGACGAUCCGUAGCUGGUCUGAGAGGAUGAUCAGCAACACUGGAACUGAGACAGGGUCCAGACUCCUACGGGAGGCAGCAGUGGGGAAUAUUGGACAAUGGGCGCAAGCCUGAUCCAGCCAUACCGCGUGGGUGAAGAAGGCCUUCGGGUUGUAAAGCCCUUUUGUUGGGAAAGAAAAGCAGCAGGUUAAUACCCCGCUGUUCUGACGGUACCCAAAGAAUAAGCACCGGCUAACUUCGUG
rnacentral:rRNA from 1 species